rnacentral:lncRNA from 1 species
UCUCUCCUUUACUUUCUCACACACAUUUACAAAUCCCCCAUAUAACUUUCAAUCAAACCAAUGGCGCUCAGCUGGAAAGAUUGGUGCCUUGAAGUUGGAUUGGAAGAAGACAACAAGUAGAGAAAUAUGCUAUGACCGGAAAAUUGAAGAAAGUUUGUUUAUACACUUAAAUGAAAGGGAGACUAGAAUAGUUGUCAGAUAAUCCGCCACAAAAUGUUCUUUAAUGUUGAAAUUAGGUGUAUGGUUUUUGUAUAGUUUGGAUUUUAUUGUGUUAUUUGAAUAAGUUGGUAUUUUAAUUUGAUUGUUUGUAUAUUAAGUAAAGUUGGUUUUUUAUAUUUAUUAAAGAUUUGAGUAUAAUGAUUGAGCGA